UCGACGCCCGUGAGUCUCUCUGCGCUUUAACUUGUGGUGCUGUACCAACACCAGAACGCGAGUUGAGCUGUUAAAUCAACGCCGCUGCUGGUCUGUGUGGUGAAACUCUAACGUCGUUUCUCUCUAUAUGAUGUUCUGAAAAGGCGUUGUAUUCUAUUCAUUCGAACUUCGAAUAGUUCACGGUGAGACUAGAACGGAGGAACAUAAUACUGUAGGUGCAGCACUACUAUUUAAAGUGGCGCCGAUGACACCAAUCGUGAAUAUUGUUCUACUCAAUUAACGGAAUAUCCUUACCCCUACCCAUAACUCCGCGCAAUCAGUCUUUCUGAGGCAUAUCAUUAUGACUCUGUAUACACAGAGCCUGGUCCCUGGCCUGGCCUACAUUCUAGCAGGGUACAGGAGAGCUGCUAUGGAGGGAGUCGCUAUGGAGUAGAAUUAGGCUGAAACAGGAGAAGGAAAUCACUUCUUAACAGGAAGAGCGACACAUGGACCACAACAACAGAAUGACAAGUGUUGAACAUCUGUCUCAGUUCAUUUAUUAAUAAAGUCUGGAGCCAGAAAUAACAACAAUCACAUAGCAGCCCAAACGCCACACCAUAUUUUCUCCAUUAUGAAAACAGACCUGAGUUCAGUUCUUAUCUGUUAUAAUCACAUAGCAGCCCAAAUGCCACACCAUAUUUUCUCCAUUAUGAAAACAGACCUGAGUUCAGUUCUUAUCUGUUAUAAUCAAAUAGCAGCCCAAAUGCAUCACUAUAUUUUCUCCAUUAUGAAGACCUGAAUUCAGUUCUUAUCUGUUAUUCUUGUCGGCCUUUCUUCCUCUCCCUUGACGCUGACUGUGCAGGGGUGUGUGUGCGUGCCUGUGUGUGUGUGUGCAUCCUUGCAUGUGCGUGUUCAUGUCUGUACGUGUGUACGUGCUUGUGUAUGUAUGUCCCUACUAAUCCCAGUCACCUUAUUAUGAGAAGCAGAUGUUUUGUUGCUCAUUUAGAAGGAGAAUUAAAUUAUUAUAAUGUUGAAGCAUGGUUCCUUUCCUCCUCUGAGUAUUGUUCCCUAUGGAGGUUUACUGUACUCUACUAAACUCUGGGUUAGAUCCUGUUUGGCCACGUGUUCCCUAUGGAGGUUUACUGUACUCUACUAAACUCUGGGUUAGAUCCUGUUUGGCCACGUGUUCCCUAUGGAGGUUUACUGUACUCUACUAAACUCUGGGUUAGAUCCUGUUUGGCCGGGUGUUCCCUAUGCAGGUUUACUGUACUCUACUAAACUCUGGGUUAGAUCCUGUUUGGCCACGUGUUCCCUAUGGAGGUUUCCUGUACUCUACUAAACUCUGGGUUAGAUCCUGUUUGGCCACGUGUUCCCUAUGGAAGUUUACUGUACUCUACUAACUCUGGGUUAGAUCCUGUUUGGCCGGGUGUUCCCUAUGGAGGUUUACUGUACUCUACUAAACUCUGGGUUAGAUCCUGUUUGGCCACGUGUUCCCUAUGGAGGUUUACUGUACUCUACUAAACUCUGGGUUAGAUCCUGUUUGGCCACGUGUUCCCUAUGGAGGUUUCCUGUACUCUACUAAACUCUGGGUUAGAUCCUGUUUGGCCGGGUGUUCCCUAUGGAGCUUCACUGUACUCUACUAAACUCUGGGUUAGAUCCUGUUUGGCCGGGUGUUCCCUAUGGAGCUUCACUGUACUCUACUAAACUCUGGGUUAGAUCCUGUUUGGCCGGGUGUUCCCUAUGGAGCUUCACUGUACUCUACUAAACUCUGGGUUAGAUCCUGUUUGGCCACGUGUUCCCUAUGGAGGUUUCAUGUACUCUACUAAACUCUGGGUUAGAUCCUGUUUGGCCGGGUGUUCCCUAUGGAGCUUCACUGUACUCUACUAAACUCUGGGUUAGAUCCUGUUUGGCCAGGUGUUCCCUAUGGAGAUUUACUGUA